rnacentral:rRNA from 1 species
ACGUUAGCGGCGGACGGGUGAGUAACACGUGGGUAACCUACCUAUAAGACUGGGAUAACUUCGGGAAACCGGAGCUAAUACCGGAUAAUAUUUCGAACCGCAUGGUUCGAUAGUGAAAGANGGUUUUGCUAUCACUUAUAGAUGGACCUGCGCCGUAUUAGCUAGUUGGUAAGGUAACGGCUUACCAAGGCGACGAUACGUAGCCGACCUGAGAGGGUGAUCGGCCACACUGGAACUGAGACACGGUCCAGACUCCUACGGGAAGGCAGCAGCG